rnacentral:rRNA from 1 species
AUUGAACGCUGGCGGCAGGCCUAACACAUGCAAGUCGAGCGGAGCGGCGGACGGGUGAGUAAUGCCUAGGAAUCUGCCUGGUAGUGGGGGAUAACGUCCGGAAACGGGCGCUAAUUCCGCAUACUAUCCGAUGAGCCUCUGGGGUAUUAGCUAGUUGGUGGGGUAAAGGCCUACCAAGGCGACCAUCCGUAACUGGUCUGAGAGGAUGAUCAGUCAAACUGGAAAUGAGACACGGUCCAGACUCCUACGGAAGGCAGCAGUGGGGAAGAUUGGACAAUGGGCGAAGGUCUGAUCAAGCCAUGCCGCGGAGGUGAAGAAGGUUUUCGGAGUGUAAAGCACGUUAAGUUGGUAGGCGGUACCAACAGAGUAAGCACCGGCUAACUUCGUGCCAGCAGCCGCGGUAAUAC